CAUUAUCAGUAACAUCAGCAGCAACAACAACUUCUCUGGUGGUUAAAUCAACACCAAAUUCAAUCUUUGUGUCAACUUGUACACAGUUCUGUGGCAACCAGGAUUUCUCCAGUAUUUUAAAAAUAACCUGUGCAGCAUGACUCACGCUAGCUACUUCACUUUGGCCUUUACCAAGUCCAGCACAGCAAAAUUUCACAGCAAUUCACUGUUUCUCAUUACUGGCAGCACCCUUGAAAACAUCUCCACAUUAGGUUAUUUCUACCUAGGACAUGAAAUGAAUGGAAUGCUUGAGAAAUUAUUGCCACACCAUUCUGCUAGGUACAAAUCAAAAAGAAAACACGCCUACUCUUGGUGUAAUUUCUAGCUCUGCCUCAAGAAUCUUCUAGCAGGCGCUUUUUCACCUGGCUUAAUGGUCAGGUCGCACCCCUGAGUAUGUCAGUCAAAC
rnacentral:lncRNA from 1 species